rnacentral:piRNA from 1 species
UCAUAUGUAGCAGAGGCUCGAGGAAGCCC